rnacentral:rRNA from 1 species
UGGGGAAUUUUCGGACAAUGGGCGCAAGCCUGAUCCAGCCAUGCCGCGUGCGGGAAGAAGGCCUUCGGGUUGUAAACCGCUUUUGUCAGGGAAGAAACGCUCUGGGCUAAUACCCUGGGGUAAUGACGGUACCUGAAGAAUAAGCACCGGCUAACUACGUGCCAGCAGCCGCGGUAAUACGUAGGGUGCAAGCGUUAAUCGGAAUUACUGGGCGUAAAGCGUGCGCAGGCGGUUAUGCAAGACAGAUGUGAAAUCCCCGGGCUCAACCUGGGAACUGCAUUUGUGACUGUAUAGCUAGAGUACGGUAGAGGGGGAUGGAAUUCCGCGUGUAGCAGUGAAAUGCGUAGAUAUGCGGAGGAACACCGAUGGCGAAGGCAAUCCCCUGGACCUGUACUGACGCUCAUGCACGAAAGCUAGGGGAGCAAACAGGAUUAGAUACCCGGGUAGUCCCUGAGCGGGCUGGCAAGGCGCAU